rnacentral:rRNA from 1 species
GAUGAACGCUGGCGGCGUGCUUAACACAUGCAAGUCGAACGAAACACCCUAUUUGAUUUUCUUCGGAACUGAAGAUUUGGUGAUUGAGUGGCGGACGGGUGAGUAACGCGUGGGUAACCUACCCUGUACAGGGGGAUAACAGUCAGAAAUGACUGCUAAUACCGCAUAAGACCACAGCACCGCAUGGUGCAGGGGUAAAAACUCCGGUGGUACAGGAUGGACCCGCGUCUGAUUAGCUGGUUGGUGAGGUAACGGCUCACCAAGGCGACGAUCAGUAGCCGGCUUGAGAGAGUGAACGGCCACAUUGGGACUGAGACACGGCCCAAACUCCUACGGGAGGCAGCAGUGGGGAAUAUUGCACAAUGGGGGAAACCCUGAUGCAGCGACGCCGCGUGAGUGAAGAAGUAUCUCGGUAUGUAAAGCUCUAUCAGCAGGGAAGAAAAUGACGGUACCUGACUA